ensembl:ncRNA lncRNA:CR46198 long non-coding RNA:CR46198
CAACAACAACAACAACAGAAAUAACAACAACAAUGGGGGCAACAAAAACGAAAGCAACAGAAGCCACAAUUUUCAGCAGGAAGAGCAACAAAAUAUUGUGUGUGCAAAGUCCGAAAACCACUUUGGGCCCAACUUAUUUGUGGCUAACAAAUUUGCAUGCAUUGACGCAUCAUCAUCGCAGUUGCCAAUUCAUCUGGAUAUACGUCUAUAUGUAUAUAUAUGACAACACUGGAGACUUUGACUGCGAUUGCAAAUCUUGGGCAAAUCAAUAGAAGUUGUAAAGAGCUGGGAAAAGCGUCCUCAAUGUGUCAGCUCAAAUGUCAAUUUGUUGGCCAGGAUUUCCAGGAUAUCGAUGGUACAAGUGACAAAACACAAAACACAAAACGUGCAUAGUUUUUGAGACUGAUUGAGGGCGGGAUUGUAUGAGUCAACAAAGACAUUUGAAAAAAGUGCGAUAAAAGUGCGUUUUUGUGUUAGAGAACUAGCCCUUACUCAGCUAGUGGGACAUAUACUCAUUGGGACAGUCUAGUGAUCUUGAUCAAGAAUACAUAUACUUUAAAUAUACACUUAGCGGGU